UAUAAGCGGAGGAAAAGAAACCAACAGGGAUUGCCUUAGUAACGGCGAGUGAAGCGGCAAAAGCUCAAAUUUGAAAUCGGCCACCAGGUCGAGUUGUAAUUUGUAGAUUGUAUCUUGAGAGCGGAUUAAAGUCUGUUGGAACACAGCGCCUUAGAGGGUGACAGCCCCGUAAAAUCUAUUCUCAUUGUAAGAUACUUUCGAAGAGUCGAGUUGUUUGGGAAUGCAGCUCUAAGUGGGAGGUAAAUUCCUUCUAAAGCUAAAUAUUGACGAGAGACCGAUAGCGAACAAGUACUGUGAAGGAAAGAUGAAAAGCACUUUGAAAAGAGAGUGAAAAAGUACGUGAAAUUGUUAAAAGGGAAGGGUAUUGAAUCAGACUUGGUGCUGUUGUUCAACCAUGUUUCGGCAUGGUGUACUCAGCAGUACUAGGCCAAGGUGGGGUGUUUGGGAGUGAAAAAGAAGUAGGAACGUAACUCUUCGGAGUGUUAUAGCCUACUUUCAUAGCUCCUCAGGCGCCUCAGGACUGCGCUUCGGCAAGGACCUUGGCAUAAUGAUUCUAUACCGCCCGUCUUGAAG
rnacentral:rRNA from 1 species